GUGCAAAAUAUGUCGAGUCAGUGAUGUGUUUAUUUUGUAAACAAUAAAUCAAAUACAUAAUAAUAGUCUAUAAUCCGAAGACUUAAUCAGCAACAUUUUAUAACAUGUUGUAUUUUAUAGUGGCAUGAGCAAGAUGUUCUUGGUAAAGCCUACUACCUAAAGCUGCCGUGGAAGGCUGUUUAAUGUCGAGGUUAAAAGUAGUUUUAAUUUGAAAUGAUGUAAAGUAUUGUGGCAGUAUUUUGCGAGCCACAUGGUGGUACAAUUUGUAUACAUAUUUAUAUUCUUGCAGAUUCAGGGAUUCAAAUAUAUCAUCAAACAGGUUCCUUAUUGCCAGUGCCUGUUGAAGACUAUACAUUUUUGCAAAUAUAUUUUAUGGACAAUUCAGCAAGAGAAGUCGAUCAGCGUUGCGCACACAACAACUCAGUAAAGAGAUCCAUUGUGAUGAACAACUUCAAACAUUUUUCCUUCAACACAAUGAAUUAGUUGCAUUAGACCGAUGCAUUAGACAUUCACAAAUGCAUUAGACCGCAUGCCAUCAGAUAAUCACAAAAUUGUCAUCAGAGCCGAUAAGGCGCCUGCAGGACAGUGAAAUGAUUGAAUCCUAUGAAAUAAACACUAUUAUGAAAAUA